GUGGGGAAUCUUGCGCAAUGGGCGAAAGCCUGACGCAGCCAUGCCGCGUGGAUGAUGAAGGUCUUAGGAUUGUAAAAUCCUUUCACCGGUGAAGAUAAUGACUGUAGCCGGAGAAGAAGCCCCGGCUAACUUCGUGCCAGCAGCCGCGGUAAUACGAAGGGGGCUAGCGUUGCUCGGAUUUACUGGGCGUAAAGGGCGCGUAGGCGGACAUUUAAGUCAGGGGUGAAAUCCCGGGGCUCAACCUCGGAACUGCCUUUGAUACUGGGUGUCUUGAGUAUGAGAGAGGUGUGUGGAACUCCGAGUGUAGAGGUGAAAUUCGUGGAUAUUCGGAAGAACACCAGUGGCGAAGGCGACACACUGGCUCAUUACUGACGCUGAGGCGCGAAAGCGUGGGGAGCAAACAGGAUUAGAUACCCUGGUAGUCC
rnacentral:rRNA from 1 species